GAGGAGAGUUGCGACUUCACUGUUAACAGAUUUGGAACUAUUAAAAGUUUUGAGAUGACUAUGAAUCAAGAAGUGACUACAAGGAAAAA